rnacentral:rRNA from 1 species
UACAGGGGGGGCAAGCGUUUGUUCGGAAUUACUGGGCGUAAAGGGUUCGUAGGUGGCCACCUAAGUCAGACGUGAAAUCCCUCAGCUUAACUGGGGAACUGCGUCUGAUACUGGGUGGCUUGAGUGCAGGAGAGGAAUGCGGAAUUCCAGGUGUAGCGGUGAAAUGCGUAGAUAUCGAGAGGAACACUAAGGGCGAAGGCAAGACUCUGGACAAGUGCUGACGCUCAUGCACGAAGGCUAGGGUAGCGAACGGG